rnacentral:rRNA from 1 species
GAUGAACGCUGGCGGCGUGCCUAAUACAUGCAAGUCGAGCGAACGGACGAGAAGCUUGCUUCUCUAAUGUUAGCGGCGGACGGGUGAGUAACACGUGGAUAACCUACCUAUAAGACUGGGAUAACUUCGGGAAACCGGAGCUAAUACCGGAUAAUAUUUUGAACCGCAUGGUUCAAAAGUGAAAGACGGUCUUGCUGUCACUUAUAGAUGGAUCCGCGCUGCAUUAGCUAGUUGGUAAGGUAACGGCUUACCAAGGCAACGAUGCAUAGCCGACCUGAGAGGGUGAUCGGCCACACUGGAACUGAGACACGGUCCAGACUCCUACGGGAGGCAGCAGUAGGGAAUCUUCCGCAAUGGGCGAAAGCCUGACGGAGCAACGCCGCGUGAGUGACGAAGGUCUUCGGAUCGUAAAACUCUGUUAUUAGGGAAGAACAUAUGUGUAAGUAACUGUGCACAUCUUGACGGUACCUAAUCAGAAAGCCACGGCUAACUACGUG